GCAGCUCAUCGGUCUAUCGCGGUUCCGAAUUAUUCGGAAAUGAGGAAAGUCUGGACAACGCAAAGCACCUCACCACCUAACGGGUGGGUUCCGAGAAGUCGGAAACAGAAAGGGUCACAGAAAAUAACCGUCUCAAACUUGUUUGAGAUAAGGGUGAAAACGGGUGGUAAGAGCACCCGAUUCUGGUAGGCAACUAUCAAAAUGGAUAAACCUUGAGGGUUGAAAUGCCAUGUACACCGCGACACGCUUUCGGGCGUACUGCGUCGCUUGCGCAGCGCGGGGGGUAGGCAGAUAGAGUUUGCUUUCGAGCAAACCUAGAUAAUGAUAGACACGCCGAAGCAAUUUGGCGAACAGAAUCCGGCUUACAGAUGAGCUUUUUUU
rnacentral:RNase_P_RNA from 1 species